CCACUGAUAGUACCGCUUGAGGUC
rnacentral:siRNA from 1 species